GUGCGUAGUAUAGUUGGUUAGUACAUCGGACUUUUAAUCCGAUAAUCGUGGGUUCAAAUCCCACCGUUCC
rnacentral:tRNA from 1 species